CGGAGACGGAUGAAGUGACAUGACUAAGGUCACCCAAGGCCCGCGUCGGAGAAUGGAGCUGAACCCGGGGCUCUCCCAGCAGGGGCUGAGCAUUACAGCGUAGGCUCGGGGCGUCGUACGAGGAGGAUUUCACGGUUGAAAAAGGGCCCAGUCUAAGUCCUGCCCUACCUCUGAAGCCAGUGAGAACAGCAGGUCACCAGAAGACAUCUUCUAAUAUUUCCCCUUCCCAGGGCAUCUCUGCAGCUUCCCGGGAAAGGCACGACAUGCCCACAGCUGGACCAGAUGUGCAGCUGAUUCCUUCAUUUGCCUUUGGAUUCCCACUCUCACGUUGAGUGGGUCAGACCAUCAUGGUCAGUGGUGAAUGAGGGAGGUGACCGUGGACAGUGGCAGAGUGGCAUGGCCAGAGCACUGCCACCAGCACAGCAACAACCACAAACUUUAAGGCUGUUCCUCAGAGGGUACUUCGGGCUGCUGAGAUUCAACACGUUCAAAGAGGAUCCAGGGACCAGGGCAGAUGCCUAAGUACACAGUCCCAUAAAGAACCUCUUCUGGGAAAUUCCAAACUGCGCUUGAGUCAAAAGCACAGGAGAUGAUCUUGCUUCAAACACUACUAGAAGAAAGUCUCUUUGGCCAAAAUUUCUCUAGCUGUUUUUCUGCACUCCGGUCUGUGCCAUCUGCUGCGUGCCUGUGAUACGGUGCCGAGGACCGGGGAAGGAGCGAUGCAGAGCGGAGGUCGCAAGCCGCCAGCCUUUUCCUGCCCCCCUGCCAGCUGCGGGAAUCAGGACGGCACCUUUGUCCCAGCGCGAGGUGGCCGAGGAUCACCGUCCCCGCAGCGCUCCCUACUCUGGUGUGCCGGCAUAGGUCGAGUCUGCCCCAUAGGUUUUAAGCCUAAUUCUAGCUGGAGGUGAUGAGACUUCUGCCCCUGCCAGAGGUGGGGAUUGGAUGCUGUUGGUGUUACCCACAGUCUGAGGGGACAGCUGAUUCAGCCACCACGGCUUCCCAGUGCUCCUGGCGUCAGAUUUGCAGAACCCCUCGGACCAUCCUCACCAACUCUAACAAGCUUCAAGAAGUGCUUCCAAGUCAGCAUUUGGGGGACAGGGAGAGAAAGCACGACCGCCUCCGCCCAGGCGUUAAAGGGGAGUAAUGAAAUUGUCUGCUGCUGCCAGAUAAGUGGAGAGGAUACCUCGGAGAGUCACUUUGGAUCUCCAGCCACAGUAAUACGUUGUUAUGAAUCUCUAUCAGUGCACUUGUAGUGCAGCUGGAGAGUAUGUCUGACAUUGCCUCCAGUGACCUUUUCAAUAUAGUCCAAGUGCUGCAGAGCUGGUGUUUCAAGAGGAAUUCAAAUCGAAUUUACUCAGGCAGAAGGGAUUGGCCUGAGGAUAGCCCUACCGCUGGCUUCGCAUUUCUCCUUGUCAUUCUCAUGGAAAUUGCAAUUCUUUAUGCAUGGUGCUUCUUCCUGCACCGCUGCAAAUGUCUCCCCUUUACGCAACAGGAACAGCCACCGUGCUUUUAACGGCGGGUCCGCGGUGGGCUGGCAGUGACGGCGUGGUGUUGCACGCCGCGGCUGAAGGGUGUUUGCAGGUGGUGCCGGCGGCAGCAGAAGUGGGAGGAUGAAGGUGUGAACUUGAACGCAACCUGUCGUAAGGUCGCAAUGUGGCCGCGUGCGCUGGCACCCCAAAUUAGCUGCUGCAUGUCAAGCACCCGCCAUCAUGUGAAAAGAUGCAGCUCACGGCCGCGGGAGGUGAAUCACUGUAAUUUGUAGAAGCUGGUAGAGAAAGGCACGGGAGAGAAAUUCAUUCCGGGCUCUGCAAAGCCAGAGCAGCCGAGGAGCAGCGUCUCGGCGUGUAACGCUAAUGUCUCUGGGCUGAGGUCUCUGCCCUCCUGGAGGCAAAGUGCCUGCGUUUGGGGGAAAUGCUGGUUUUAUGUGCUUUCCUGGCGCGGUAUGAUUAUUUCAUACGUGUUUGUAUGAGGUGCUUUAAAAUGUAAUUUCUUUGAUUAAUUUGGUGUCUGUAUUUUCACUGUUUUGUUCGCUCCAAUUUAUGACAAAAUUGAACAAAGUGGGUAAUAAAAUAUAGCCCUGUCAGGCUCCUGUCUUCACGGAUAUAAAGAAAAAUGUGAAACUGUCAGGCACACAAAUGUGCCAAACCCCAAGGAAAAUUAUUACAUUCUGCUUGACAUUUACUUUA